rnacentral:rRNA from 1 species
GUCAGAUCGCCCCUGAUGAAUCAGUUGUACUAACCGUCCUGAAGCCGCGAGAUCACCUUCGGGUGACGAGCUGGUGGAUGCACGGGACCUCGGCUGGUAGUAGUCAAGCGAUGGGGUGACGCAGGAAGGUAGUGGGGCCAGUCAGUGGUUGUACUGGUGUAAGCCUGUAGGGCGAGAUCUAGGCAAAUCCGGAUCUCAUAUAAGCCUGAGAGGUGAUGCGUAGCCGUUGCGGCGAAUUCCAUGAUCC